GAGGACCAUUUAAAGCCUACAAUUUAUUUAAUUUCUUUUGUGUGGCAUGCACUUACAACAAUUGAACUCUAGAACUUGCUUAGCUUCUUUUCAAGGUCACAAUAGCAUAUGUAUGCAUGGAGAUGAAGGAUUAUUUUCAUUCUUGAUCCCUUGUAAAUUCCAAUUCCCUACUUCAUAAGUUUCUUAAAACAUUUUCCUCUUGCAUUGUAACCUUUGAUCAUCUUUGCUUGCUUUAUUUUGUUGAGAGUAUGGAUUAAUUGCUUGAUGAGUUUACUCGACCAAGAGGUGGAUAAAGGUUAAGUGUGGGGGAGAAUUGCAUAUGCUUGAGAUUCAUGGAGGAUUUUUUUUUUUUUUUGGAAGUUCUUGAACUUGUGAAAUUAAGUUGAUGGCUGCAUUGCUUGAGGUUAAGGAUGCUUAUCAAUUUUGGAGCAGAAUUCUCAAUUCUUUUUGCAGUUUAAUUGAAAUCUGAGAAGUUGCUAUUUAGAAUUCUGCAGAAAAUUGAAGGUAUCAAAAUUGUGCCGGAAUUCAGGAGAAGUUUUGAAACCAAUGUGAAACUCAAAAUGAGGAAUGACUGAACAAGGCAGGAAAUUCAAAAACAAAAUAAAAAAAAGUGAGCCUUUGUAAUUACUGAAAGGUGAUUUUAAUAGAUCAAAAUUCGGAAUUCAAAUGGUGGUAAUUAUUUCAUCAACAAAGUACUUUAAUAUAGUAUCAUUUCCUUUGAGAAGGUGAGAAAAAGGGCAGCAAUUGGAACUUUUAACAGUGAGGUGAUAAAGCUGGAAACAGAAUUCAGAACAUAUGGAAACAAGUUGAGCAACUUUUUCAUUAUCAGCCUUAAGAUCUUUGGGAAGUUAUUGAAACUCUUGCAUUUCCAGCAGCAAAUGUGGAUUACUUUCUUUCCAAUCCUCUACAAAUUUGCUAGAUAGGAAUUUGAAAGUAUCAAGUUGCUGGAAUUCUUGAAUUGCAGUAAACCUUCUAAGUGAUGCUAUAAGCUGAGAUAAAAUGUGAAAUGAGGCUAUCAUUUGACUUAAUGAUUGAAAAGUUCUAUGGAAAUAAAUUGUUCAAGCUUGUAGUGAAGCUAAUUGCAAAGAUGAGGGAAUAGGUUGAUAAAUUAAGGAUAUGAAGGGAAAAGAGAUCUGAAACAUGUUUAAAACAGUGAGGUGAAAAACAGAUUUCAAUUUUGAAUUGUAUCAAGUGUGUGUCCACUUUUAUCAGCAGGCUUCAAAUCAUUAAGAAACGUAAAUGAAGAUCUGGUAUUUUCAGUAACAAAUGGUGGUUAAUUUGGUUAUUGUUGUGCUCUAUUUUUGGCAAGAGAAUUCUUCAUGUAGCAUACCUACAUGGCUGCUGAAAUGGAAAACUGUAAGUGCUGAAACAUGGAUCUGCGGCUGAAAACCUGAUCAAAGAGCAGGAUUUGAACUUCAAUUAGUGAUUGCCAUUCAAUUCAAGAAGCAUUCCUUAUGAUAUAAUAAGGUUUUUAAAGGAAAAUUGGAACUGAUGUCAGCCAAUUGAUACUUAAAGCAGUAAAGAGAUGAAGGCUGAGAAAAGUCUACUUUAAAUCUGUGUGGAAUCAAAUCUGUUAUUUUCAAAUCACAAAUGGGAGCAUGUUCCAGCUAAUUAUGAGAGGAAGCUCAGCAGAUUUAAAAGGUUGUGUGUCUUGUGCCAAAGAUUUCCGAGAGUUCUAUAGAUCAAAAUCCUGAAAUCUGAAAUCUGUAAUCUGUGUGCUGCUGGAAGUUGUGUAAUUUCCAGAACCUAGAAAGACUUUAAAGAUGUAAAAUUUCAGUGAUUCAAUUCAGAGCUGAAUGAUACUCUUUGUCAAAUUUGAUUCUUCAUGUUUCAAACAAAUUCCCUCAAGGAAGAGUAUCAAAUUUCUGAAACUGCUACUCAAAUGCAGAAAUCAGGAGUUGAUGAUGUUGAUUCAAAGAGCUGUGUGCACUGUUUCUUAACAGAUGCUGCUGUAGUUGAUCAAUGGAGCUAAUGUGCAUGAGUAUAGAGCAAGAAAAGUUAAUAGUAGGGAGUGUUCAGGUUGACACAGGAACUUUGAAAUUGCAAAUUCAGAUAGAGCAGAAUUUCAGAGGUUGAGUAUUAAGUUGAGGACACAUUGUAUCAUGAUUUUUGGAUAGCUAUCCAAUUGAAGAAGAUGUCCCUACAAUUCUGCACAACAAGAAUCUCUGAACCCAGCAAUGGCUUGUUCUGAAAAGAAGUUGUCUGCUAUUAAAUUUCAGCAAUUCUGUUUGCUGAACUUUGCUUGUUAUAGACAGUUACAAGAUCCUGAAAUCUGUGGAAGAGGUUUAUUGAGAAAGGAAGAAAAUUACAAAAUGAAGUAAUGAGAAUCUGUAGAAAAUUGAGGCUGCAGUAAUAUGUAAAUGAAGAGCUUAGUGUCAAUGUUGUGCCAAAGAUGUAUGCUCUUUUCAAUCAGCAGCAACAUGAAGUUUAACCUCUACCAAUUCAGUGACAAAGUGUGGUUUUCUUUUAAAGGAAGCUUUGCCCUCUCAUUAACAAUUAGAAGUGAUGAAGUGCAGGAAUGCAAUGGUGUAAAAUUUUCUCUGAUCAGGAGCAAGAAACUGAAACUGUAACACAAAGAAAAGGCUGUGGAAAUCUGCAGAAUUGUAGUGCAGAGUUGAAAAAUCUGUAUCAGUUUUGUAUCAAGAUUUGGAAGCAAUAUCCAAAUGAGUGGAGGCUUAAUUGAAUAUUAAGAAGGUGCUGAAAACAAAUGGUAUGCUGUCUUUCAUGCAAUCUGCAAAACAAGGAAGGAUGAUUUCAUACAGAAUUCAUCCUGGACACAAAGAAAUGUCAGGACAGGGGGGUUGUUGUGGCUACUGGAAAUUGAUCACAAUGGACUAUAAUGGGGAAUUCAAUUGGUGGUAAUUACUUCUUCAAAGAAGCACUUGAGUGGAGUAUCAUUUAUUUUGAAAGUUGAAGAAAAGGGCAGCGAUUGGUAUUUUUAACAGUGGUGAAAAUGCUGGAAACCGAAUUCAGUUUACAUGAUUUCAAGAGUGUGUGUAUCAAGUGUGUGCAACUCUUCUUUAUCAGACCUUGGAACCCUUGGGGAAGAAAUUGAACCUCUUGAAUUUCCAGCAGCAUUUGUUGUUUAACUUCUUUCUAUUCUUUUCAAACCUGUUGGAUAUAAUUCGGAUGGUAUCAAUAGUGCAGAAUUCUGAAAUUGCAGUAGCUUUCUAAGUGAUGUUAUUGGCUGAAACAAGAUGGAAAUCAAGCUAUUGUUUGAUUUAAUGAUUGUAAAAGUUCUAUGGGAAUAAUUGAUGAAGCUUGAAGUGAGAAAGCAGUAACAUCAGAUGAGAAUAUUAAGUGUACAAAUCUGAAAUCCAGAAUUUUGUGGGGUGCAGAAUUAUGCAAUUCUGAUAAGCUGAAAGCUGUAAAGUUGAGAGAUGAGUAAAAGAAAAUUCAGAAAUGAAACCAAGAAAAGGAGAAGCUUACAUGAUGUUUUGUAACGUGAAUCAACAAAUGAAAUUACCACUGAGAAGCAGUAAACCAGGAAAUGCAGAUUUUGCAAAAUGAAUUUGGCCUUUGUGUGCCAAUUUGAGAAUUGAAUUUCAUGAGCUAGAGCUGCUGAAACCUGGAAAGCUUUUGAGCAUGCAUUGUAAAGGGUAUUAAGAGACAAGAUGAAGAAGUAAUGAAAUUUCUUGUGGCUAAACAGUUACAUUUUGAUACAAAGUCUAGAAAUCUGUAUUUUACUGCAUAAAUAGAGUUCAAGUAAAUUAGUUCAUGAAUAAGUCGAAAUCUAGCUGUUAUUUGAGUGGUGAUUAAUGAACAUCUUGCUUCUCCAGAGAUACAAGACUCUUAGACAAGAAAUUUGAUACCAAACAAGGAAACAAAAACUGAAAACUGAAGAUUGAAUUAAAUCUACAGUUUUGGUAUUAAAGCUGUUAUUUGGUAUUGAAGCAGCAGAAAGUUAAAGUUUAAGCUGAAGUUUUGUGCCAUUGCAGUAAAAGAGGUUACUGCAAGUCAAGUUCAGAAGAGGAAGUUGCAGGAUUUUAGAAGCUAUACGACUCUGCACAUUGAUGUUAAAUGCUAAUGAUAGAAUAGAUGGAACUUGGCAUAUGUUAGAGGAGGAAGAGAUGCAGGAAUGUUAAUUGCAUCUAGUAAUUGUUAGUUAGAGCCCUAGAGUCAAUCAUUUGAUGAUUGUAUGGACUCAUGUAUAUCAUAUUCAUGUAUAUAUAUUAAGGAAUUUGGUUUUUGGUUAU